UUGCCUAGGCUCGUCUCAAACUCCUGGCCUCAAGUGAUCCUUCUAUCUCAGCCUCUCAAAAUUCUGGGAUUACAGCAAACAGACCUACCCAUGGAGAUGAAUGAAAAUCAGAACAAUGGAAGCUGAGUAAAUCAAACAUUUGGUGGAAUCAGGGUGAAAGUUUGAUGCCUCUAUCUCCAGAUCAGGAAUGGGCUCGCCAAUGGGACCAUGAUAUCAGAAGACAGUUCAUUUGUUUCCCCUCAUCCCGGCUGAAGUCUGGAUAAUCACUACCCAUGAUUAUCUGUGACUCCCUUUUUACUUGCCUGGCCAACCAAAAGUCACUGCCCAACCCCUGGCCUGAGUGCCUCUUGCUCAUUAAUCCUUUAAUGUAGUUACUGAAGAGCCUGUUAGUAAAAGCCAUCCUCUCAGCUUGUACUUUGAUCCUUAAAGUCAUCAAGAUCCUUAAAGUCAUCAUUCAAGAGCUGCACCGUAUUUCCAAGUUCUUGUUGAAGGCCUGCCUGUCUGUAACAGCCAAAUAGAAACUAGAGGCCGGGUGUGGUGGCUCAUGCCUGAAAUCCCAGCAUUUCGGGACGCCGAAGCAGGCAGAUCUCCUGAGGUCAGAAGUUUGAGAUCAGCCUGACCAACAUGGAGAAACCCUGUCUCUACUAAAAAUACAAAAUUAGCUGGGCAUGGUG
rnacentral:lncRNA from 1 species